rnacentral:sRNA from 1 species
GUCUCUCUCUUCUCUCUC